rnacentral:rRNA from 1 species
AAAAGAAGAUCAAGAAGAGCUUCAGAAUGAAGCUUUCUUGGUGGAGGGGAGCGGCAGACGGGUGAGUAACACGUGGGAAUCUACCCAUCCCUGCGGAACAACUCCGGGAAACUGGAGCUAAUACCGCAUACGCCCUUCGGGGGAAAGAUUUAUCGGGGAUGGAUGAGCCCGCGUUGGAUUAGCUAGUUGGUGGGGUAAAGGCCUACCAAGGCGACGAUCCAUAGCUGGUCUGAGAGGAUGAUCAGCCACAUUGGGACUGAGACACGGCCCAAACUCCUACGGGAGGCAGCAGUGGGGAAUAUUGGACAAUGGGCGCAAGCCUGAUCCAGCCAUGCCGCGUGAGUGAUGAAGGCCUUAGGGUUGUAAAGCUCUUUCACCGAUGAAGAUAAUGACGGUAGUCGGAGAAGAAGCCCCGGCUAACUUCGUGCCAGCCGCCGCGGUAAAAC